UACGAAGGGGGCUAGCGUUGCUCGGAAUCACUGGGCGUAAAGGGUGCGUAGGCGGGUCUUUAAGUCAGGGGUGAAAUCCUGGGGCUCAACUCCAGAACUGCCUUUGAUACUGAAGAUCUUGAGUUCGGGAGAGGUGAGUGGAACUGCGAGUGUAGAGGUGAAAUUCGUAGAUAUUCGCAAGAACACCAGUGGCGAAGGCGGCUCACUGGCCCGGUACUGACGCUGAGGUGCGAAAGCGUGGGGAGCAAACAGG
rnacentral:rRNA from 1 species